rnacentral:rRNA from 1 species
GACGAACGCUGGCGGCGUGCUUAACACAUGCAAGUCGAACGGAAAGGCCCUGCUUUUGUGGGGUGCUCGAGUGGCGAACGGGUGAGUAACACGUGAGUAACCUGCCCUUGACUUUGGGAUAACUUCAGGAAACUGGGGCUAAUACCGGAUAGGAGCUCCUGCUGCAUGGUGGGGGUUGGAAAGUUUCGGCGGUUGGGGAUGGACUCGGGGCUUAUCAGCUUGUUGGUGGGGUAGUGGCUUACCAAGGCUUUGACGGGUAGCCGGCCUGAGAGGGUGACCGGCAACAUUGGGACUGCGACACGGCCCAGACUCCUACGGGAGGCAGCAGUGGGGAAUAUUGCACAGUGGGCGGAAGCCUGAUGCAGCAACGCCGCUUGCGGGAUGACGGCCUUCGGGUUGUAAACCGCUUUCGCCUGUGACGAAGCGUGAGUGACGGUAAUGGGUAAAGAAGCACCGGCUAACUACGUG